UACGGAGGGUGCAAGCGUUGUCCGGAUUUAUUGGGUUUAAAGGGUGCGUAGGUGGCCUCUUAAGUCAGCUUUGAAAGCUGGUCGCUUAACGAUCAGGGGUGGGUUGAUACUGGGAGGCUUGGAUCAGGUGGCGGUUUCUGGAACGGGUCGUGUAGCGGUGAAAUGCAUAGAUAUGACCCAGAACUCCGAUUGCGAAGGCAGGAGGCUACGCCUGUAUUGACACUGAGGCACGAGAGCAUGGGGAGCAAACAGG
rnacentral:rRNA from 1 species